rnacentral:rRNA from 1 species
CCUACGGGUGGCAGCAGUGAGGAAUAUUGGUCAAUGGGCGCGAGCCUGAACCAGCCAAGUAGCGUGAAGGAUGACUGCCCUACGGGUUGUAACCUUCUUUUAUAAAGGAAUAACGUGAGGCACGUGUGCAUUUUUGUAUGUACUUUAUGAAUAAGGAUCGGCUAACUCCGUGCCAGAAGCCGCGGUAAUACGGAGGAUCCGAGCGUUAUCCGGAGUUAUUGGGUUUAACGGGAGCGUAGAGUGGUGGUUAGGUCGCUUGUGAAAGUUUGAGGCUCAACCGUAAAAUUGCAAUUGGUACGGGCAGUCUUGAGUACAGUUGAGGUAGGCGGAAUGCGUGGUGUAGCGGUGAAAUGCUGAGAUAUCACGAAGAACUCCGAUUGCGAAGGCAGCUUACUAAACUGCCACUGACAUUGAUGCUCGAAAGUGUGGGUAUCAAACAGGAUUAGAUACCCCUGGUAGUC